GUCAUGCUCUGCCCGCAGCUUUAUUCAUGGAGACCCGUAGGUAUGGAACACCCGAGCGAGCCUGUCACAGCCCUCGGCUACGCGCUACACCAGGAGCUUUACUGCAGAGCAUGGUCAGUUACUCCUGCAAUGAUGGCGGGAGUCCCUCGACGCUUUCCAUGUAAAUGUGGGAAAACUUCACUGCAGUAACAGAUGAAGUCAUAGUUAAAAUAGAAUCACAUCUUCUUGUAGCCCUAUCAUCACAGAAAAUACCACAGAGUGGAUGGCCCAAGUGGAAGUGUAUCCUCACGGUUCAGGAGGUGGGGGGCUGAGCACAGGAGGUGCCAGGGUUAGUUUUCUCUUAGCCUGUGCCCUCGGCUUGUAGAUGGAAUCCCCUUGCUGUGCCUUUCCUGUGUGUGUACAUACAUGUCCUUUCUGUGUGCAUACAUGUCCUUUCUGUGUGCAAACAUGUCCCUUCUGUGUGCAUACAUGUCUCUUCUGUGUGUAUAUGUCCCUCCUGAGUGCAUACAUGUCCCUUCUGUCUUUUUUGUGCAUUUAGAAUUUCUCUCUCUUUUUUUUAAAUAAGGAUUCAUGCCAUGGUUGGGGCAGUGGAGUGUAUGUGAAUGUGUGUGUGUGAGUGUGUGUGUGUGUGUGUGUGAGUGUGUGUGUGUGUGUGUGUGUGUGUGUGCGUGCGCGCGCACGCUUGAGCUUAUGUACACACGCAACUUACUCUAAUACCCUAACCACCUCCUUAAAGGCCCCCCCCUUUUUUUUUAAUGUUACAUUCUGAGGUUCUGAGGUUGAAAACUUUAUGGGAUACAAUUCAGCUCAUUCUUUGGAAGAAUCAGCAGUUGGAGAACUAAUUCUUAGCACAUUUUGUUCAAGUGCCUUAUUGCUGGUUUUCUUACUCUUUUGGAAUGCCAUUAAAAGUGAUCUUUUCGGGCUGGGGUUAAGCUCAGUGGUAGAAGCUGGGAUGUGCCAAGCCCUGUGUCUGACUUUUAGCCACAUACAUAUGCACAUACAUUCUUACUGAGGGAGAAAUUUGAAGUUCAGUGAUCUUUUAAAAUAUACUAUUUGUGUGAAUUGUUUGCGGAUUUUAUACCUCUGUGUCAUGUAUUUGAUCGUAUUCGCCGCCACACUCCUAACUUCUCCUGGAGCCACACCUACCUCCUUCCAGCUUAUGUGCACAGCCCUUUCAGGUCAUCUACUGAAGCCAGUCCGGCGGCCCCAUACUCACGUGUGGGACUGUGCAGAUCAGAGAAAUGUCAAAAUUUUGCUGUAGCCAUCAGCACUCCGAGAAAAGGUAAUAUUUUAUAGUAAUCUUAUUUUAGAUAAAAACCUUCUAGAUCAGAAAGUGAUACAAACACUAACACCUCUCCGACUGGGUGGGGCAGGUAUUCUGGGUUUGCUGCAUCUCAGAAUCAGUCAAACCGCUCUUAUUUGCUCAUAAAAUUACACGGUGUAUAGGCGUCAGAUUCUUCAUCCAGCCGCAGGGUGAGAAACUUAUGUCUUAUCCAACACUUGUUGCCAACUUCUGCUGCACGUCCAUCCCAGUGAACCUUUAACACUGCCGAGUCGGCCUCUGGUACACAGGCCGACUUAGUUGCUGAUGGUGUGACCUGGGAAGUGGCUACUUCAGGCUCACCGCAUGAUUACGGUGCACUGAUAAAGCAUUGUCCUAGGAAAAGCAUUGUGUGUGUUGGAGAAACAGGGUGCACGCGUACUACCUUUAGUAUUGCUAGUGGCCUGCUACCUGGGAUCUUUUUUCUUAACUUUUCCUAAAACACAGUCCAAUUUAAUCCUAGAUAAAAUGGAAAUGUUCUGAAGAAGAUAGCAUAGUGCUUUUUUUCCUUAGUAACAGAUAACCCAUCAUGGUUUAGCCCUAGUGCCAGUCAGGUGGAAGCCAGUCUGUUAACUAGGAUUUAUUGAGCAGUCUCAAGGUGUACAGAGCCUAGCUCUGGGCCUUUGGAAUAGAUAGUAAACGCUGGCUCCAUAUACCUGUAAACCAGUCAUGGUAGACAGAGCAGAAAGAUUUGUAAGCAAUUGAAUUAUUCCAGGAGCUAAAAUAAAAAAUGUAGCACGCUUGCACAGAUUAGGAGAACCUUGGUGUGUGACAGACCAUGGGUUGGAAGGCCUCAGUGCUAAUGGAGGACUGGGGUUUAGGAAUGGGCUUUCUUAGAUCAAAAGGAUGCGGAUUAUAUCCUGGCAUUCAGAGACUUAUCAGCUAAGAUGUAGGCGGAAUGUAGCUGGGGGUGUUCAAACUUGAUUGGGAAGGAAACACAGAGGGUCAGUCAGUACUGAAAGCUUGUACAUAAUGCAUUUCCACACAACGGUGAAGGUGCGGGCUCCGUGCUAGGGGGCGCUAAAGAGCAAGCAGGCUUACAGAGGUUCUUAUGAAAGGAAGUGGCUGGGGUGUGUGCAGACGCUUCAGAGGCUGGACUGCUCCCUAAGUAAGGGGACCAAGUUGGCAGAGGCGCACAUAGUUCAGAGCCACCAAGUGACAUCAUUGGAGUUCUGUUGGUCACGAAGUGCUUGGAGACUCACCGGAUUGCUGCAAGGACUUUGGGACGCAAAGAGGACUAAAGCCACAGAGACAUUUGUGACACAUCCUUGCUGCGUUUUGUGACUGUGGGUUCCAAGUGUGUUGGGGACCAUUGUUGGUGUCUGCUUUAGGCAGUGAAACCCGAGAGGAGUAGAGCAGCUGCAGAGUUAGAGGAGGCUGUCAGGGCACAGGAACAACAACCAUGGUUUCUGUGUGAGUGAUGUGUGAAACCUAUUCACUGGGUCCCAGGGGCUUUGGAGAUUGUAAGAAUCAGGUAGGGACUUAUGGGAAAGCGAAUCUCAGUGUGUCAAGCUGAGAGAAUCAAACUGAGAUGCCAUGCAGAUGAGCCCAGGGGAGUUGAGGGGCAUCUGCCUAGUUCUUGCUCAUCCAUACCCUGUGCUUCGCUGUAGCCCCUCCCUUCUGUACUCUCUCACAUCUACUUCCUGUAAGCCCAUGGGGGGGGGGUAGCUCACUCGUCCUCAAUGACGAGGAGUGCCAGCGUUUUGGGGCCAUUUUACCCAAGCCUUCAUUCCUUGCCUAGUUGGAGGAGAGCUUCCCUGUGCAGCUGUGGUGUUGACUCUUGGGGUGAAGCACAACUGCUCUGCAUGUGUUUCUGAGAGAGAUGAUGGCUUAGCAUUCUCCUUUGUCCUCUAGAGCAUCCUUAUUCGUGGAGGCCUGGAGGGUCCACCCUCUAUAAAUAAGUAACCAAACAAAUAAGUAAAUCUUUUUGGCUCUCAGUUUUGAAGGUACCAGUCUGUGAUCAGUUGAUCUGGUAGCUUUGGACCUAUGGUGAAGUAGCACAGCACACAUGGACUGUGUAGUGAUGUAAAACCACUCAGCAUAUGGCUAGAAAGCAAAGAAAACAACGUGGAAGACUUCCACAGACCUCUUCCAGGCCUCAGUAGGGCUGGCCUAGGAACCUCCUGCUAAGCCUUGCUUCCUAGAUGCCAGUCCUCCAAUAAUACAUAGACCUUGGAAGGCAUUCUGCUUCUGUCCUCCCAAGGCUCCUGCUUGGCUCAUACUUUGAAAUGCAUUCUCAGAGUCCAAGGUUGGAACUCUCACAGCUUUGCUCAGAAUUCAAGACUUAAAAACUACGUGGGGCCCCAUGGCCAGGAGGCAAAAGGAUGUCUCCAACUGUUGGUCUGAAUUCUACAGGGGAAGAAGACUUGUCCAGGUUCCCGCUGCCCAGGGAAUAAAGGUGCUGGUGUUUGAAUGAAUGUGCUGGGCCUGGGGUCUGAGUCAAGUGAGACUGGGCAGGCAGGGCAGGAGGAUAGUGGAGCAGGCUCUCGAAGGAGUUGCCUUGCCUCUGAGUGACCGGAAGCGGUGAGGUCUAAGCUCCUGUGAGGUAGAGGAACGCUUCUAUAAAGAGUGUGACAGGAGUUUGUCUGUAUGCUUUCAUGCGCCUGGUUUGUGGAGAAGAGAUGAGCUAGCUUUAGGACACCCUGUGCUCUCUGCCAUUUUCUCUUUUUUUUUUUUCCUCUGUGUGUGUGUGUGUGUGUGUGUGUGUCUGUGUCUGUGUGUGUGUACUUAUCCUGAGACAUUUGUACUCUCCCUCUGUUGCUCACACCCUGGUUUUGUUCAUUAUAUUUCCUGUGUUUAUUUUGUUUAAGAAUCUACUGUUUCCUUGGAAUGGAGAAAUGUCUUCCUUAUCCUUUGUAUGCCUCUUGUUUCUGUCCACACACAGCGCCAUGCGUGUAGAAAGCAUUCAGUAAGCAAUUGCUUUGGCCUGGGCAUUGAAGAGAGAGAACCAACAUAUCAUAUUGGCAAGUUGACAAACUACUGGUUAUAAAAUUAUUGGAAGGGUUGGUUUUCUUUAUGUGGUUAGAAUGAAUAUUUCCAUGUAGCAUAUAUAGGAGUUUAUGUUAGCAUCUUUAUGAAUUAUGGGUAAUAUAGAAGACAGAGAAAGAUCAUCUUGCAUAUGGAAGAGAGUGAAGUAUUUUAGAGCGUGAAAUAUGCUUACAUAAUUUUCUCAAGUAAAUAACUCCCCUUCCUAGGGAGGAAACAUGCCCAGUACAUUUGUUUUUCUUGAUGGGCACACAUAACACCUAAUUUUGAGGUAUAUAUAUACUAUAAUGCAAAAUCAGUAAUUCUUUUUUUUUUCUUAAAAAACAUCUUAGUUGCUGUUUUUUAAAUAGUCAUUAUGUUAAAACUAAAUUUGUAUGUCACUCUUGUUUAUGAAGUUUCUCUUUAAAAUCUUCCAUAUGUGUGUAAUUUGAAUAUUCACUUUACUUUUCUAGAGCAUGGCAUUAAAAUAUUGGUGUAGGCAAGCUGUCAGUUAUCAAACUCAACAUUGUAGCAAGCUGUGAAUUCAUGGGAUAGAAAAGACAUGACAGACCUUGAUUUGUCACAUCUAAGUGAUUCUCUUCCUUCGAACAUUUUUGGAGAAUUCUCCUGACAUUGGCUUGGGCAUUGUGCUGUUUCCAUAUAGUGAUCAACUGAUGUGGGGGCCCAGGACGAAUUUUCCCAGAAGAUAAUGUGUGGUUUCAUUAUUAAACUUUGUAGGUGUGUUUGGGUGGUAAGGUGCCCAGGUGAACUGGCAGCAUUUGACCAUGAUUGCACAAUAAUCUCACAUUGCCAAGGGCAAACCCCAUGUGACAUGAAGAAAAUAAAGAACAGCUGUCCCCAGAAAACUUACACAAGCAAACAGCUUUCUCAUUCGCCAUCUCUGUUUUAAUCAGCAUGGGUGCGAGGUUGAGAGUGGGCGGGAGCAGAGGACAGUCUCGUGUGGGAGGAGCUGCUGAGAGCUAGAGGUGUCUGCAGAGCUGCAAAUGCAUCCCUGAAAUUCUGCAGCCAGGCCUACCAUGCCUGAGGGAGGGAGCUGGAGAGCUGCCAGAUGCCUGCAGCACCACAGAGGCAAGGCUGAAAUUGUGCAGCCGGGCGAGGCAGGCCAGCGUAGUCAUCGCCACAAUUGACACCUUGCUCAUCUUCAGAAAACUCACUUGCAGAAGCUGUUAGCUUUAAAUAAAGGACUGAACUAAACUAAUAAGGGUAAAUGUUUGCUAAGUGGAGGACUGAUCCAUGUCCCUGCUAACCUCAUGUCCCUGUAGUGGAAGGUUGAUGUGUGGUUGUGAAUUCUUUUCUUCUUCAGUGGCCCCCUUUUUUUUUUUCAGUUAAGAACUCUUCAGCUUUUCUUCCUCCUUUGUUUAUCUGUGGUUUUCUUCACACCCCUUAACCCUGGAGUCCAUGCAGUAGGAGUGAACUUUGUCUAGUAAUUACAUGAUGUAGCUUUGGGUAUAUAUGGGGCUGGAUGUAGCACAGGGGCAAGAAACCAGCAAUAGCUGAUUUUCAAGUCGUGCUGGGACUGCGUUUAGACAGAAAACUUGAGAACUUGGUCGAGUUCUCUUGGUAAAAUGUUUUGCUACAGGUUAGUGGUCUUGAUUUUGUGUGUUGACACCAAAAUCGGAUCCGUUUGUGACGUUUUAUCUUAAUGCCUUUAUUUUCCUAGAGCAGUGGCUAACCGUGGACUCUAAAUCGGGGCCUCACUAGCGGCUCAGCUUGAAUGUUAUCAGCACGCUCAUGUUUUCAUCUUCCUCUCACUGUCUGUGAAGGAGGCUGUGCCUGUGUCUCCUCUCUAUCCUUGUUGUGGUAAUGGUACAAGUUGAAUGUCCCCUCACACCCCCGACACGGAGGUAAAUCGGUUCUACUGAUCCUUGGGAAGUACCAGCAUUGAUUCAAGGCUGUCGGCACACUGAGGGACCUUUAAUGAAUAUUUCUUUCUCCUCAUGACAGCUUACAAAGGGGAACGGCUCCCCUGAGUUCCUGGGACUCAGUCAUCUUGUGUGUCUUUGCUAACGAGCAGCAGAAUUAACUGAUAGGAUUUGCACCCUUUCUGGUCCUUGUUAUGAUGUGCUUACUUGAGCAGCAGGCUGUCUCGACUACCAAAAGGGACAGAGGGCGAAGAAAGGAAGAUGCUCGGAAGAACACUGUGGCUAUUGCAUUGUCUUGGGCUCCCAGAACAUUCACAGAAGGGGAGAUGAGGGUGAGAUUUGUGCUGGUUACCUGGAAUUGAUCAUUACCUGGUGUCGUGGCUGCCUUGAAAACAGAUGGCAGCUUCAAGGCAAGGCUGAUGCUUUGGUCUGCGUGGGGAAGGAAUGAAGCGAGGCUUCCAAAGAGCAGGAGCCAACUUCUGCCUUGUGCCCGAGGCUCUCUUCUAAUUUAUGUUAGUCGAAAUUUUCCAUCGCUUGCACCCGAGUUGUGCAUAUUGUGAUGACUGUAUUUGGCUAUCCCAUCCAUCUCAGCUUACUUUAUACUUAGACGUUCCUGGCCACGUGUGUGACUGCUGUGCUUCAGUCAUGCUAUAGGAAAGAUACCGGAGGAUUAGGAUGGGGCUCAGUCCAAUUCUGCAUUCCUCUUAUGAGUGAUCCCAUGCAGUUUCUUGAAGACAGGUAGAGGAAAAAAGGCUCUUGAAGUAGGGACCACUGUCCACCCACAUGUGAGCCUCAGCUGCAGUAGGGACAACUGUCUGCAUGUGAGCCUCAGCUGCAGUAGGGACAACUGUCUGUCUGCAUGUGAACCUCAGUUGCAGUAGGAACAACUGUCCAUCUGCAUGUGAGCCUUAGUUGCAGUAGGGACAAUUGUCUGCAUGUGAGCCUCAGUUGCAGUAGGGACAAUUGUCUGCAUGUGAGCCUCAGUUUCUAGAGUACUGCCUUUUGCUUGCUUCAUUCACCCUCAGUUACCAAGAGCACCACCAAGAGUAACAUAUAACUGCCCCUCAGGGUAAGCGUGGGCUGUGAUACGGGAGAAAACCCAAGACAUUUAGGUUUCAAAUCUCUUCUAAUAGUAAGCAAACCCUUUCUUCCCUAUAAAAGGAAGGGGAUGCUAUUUCUAAGGCUAUAGGCAGCCUGCUCUAUGCUAUAGAGGGGCAUAUUGAAUCAGAAGGCUCUGUGGCAAGGCUUUCCUGGCUGUGGUGGGUGGCUUGUGUGACAAGGUGCUUUGUGAGCAGCUGAAUGGGCCAGGACCGAUCUUAGCUGCUGGGCUGGGUUGUGUGUGGCCUCCAUAGGGUGGCAUGAGAUAUUGACAUGUUUGAAUAGCAGUGUGUCGAAACUAGCCUGGAAAUUGGAUUCAUGAGGAUCAGAUAAUAAACGAUGGUGGGCAGAAUGGCUGUUAGGAUUUCCGACAUGAUUUAUACAGGGGGUGAUAGUGAUUUAAAUGAGGGUAUGUACAGCAUAGAGAUGCUUCAAGAAUUGAUUAUAGAAGUGUUGUAUGGUUGAGCAGUCAUACUCCUGCUUGUAUGGUCAGAGGAAGUGAAAGCCAGCAGGCCACAGUAGCCAAGAAAUGGGAGCAACCUAAGCAUCCAGCUGAUGGCUGGAUAAAGAAAGUGUAGUUUACAUGUACAUACGGAGAGCUGCUUAGCCACAACAGAAAUGUGGUCUUGCCUUUGGCCCCGACACCAAAGAUUACUAGAUGAAUGGAAGUAAGCCCGGCAGAGAAAGGCUGGUACCAGACUGCAUCUCUGUGACCUCACUCAUAGAUGCUCUGAGGAAGUGGCUGUCACAGAAGUAGGGAGUAGAAUCGUGGGUACCAUAAGCUGGGGGUGGAGGCAGUGGCCAAGUUAGCAUGACAGAAGUUCUGCUGUGCUGUUGUUGUGGAGCAGGGCGAUUGCAGGAAGAAGUAGUGAAGUCAGAGGCAAAGGGUUAAACGCUUUCACCUUGAAGAACAUUGCAGGAUGGUUAUAUAUAAUGAUGAUGGGAAUUCUCAUUAAAUAUGUAGAUAGAAAUAUAAUAUUGUGUGUAUGUGCUAGUAUGUUGGAAAUAGCAGGCAGGGAUGGGCAAGAGGAGACACUUGACAGGAAAACAGACAGUUGGCCUGGUGGCCACAGGAAGGAAAGGAAGCCAACCAACCUCCCAAGCCCAGGUCUGUGGUGCGUUAGCCCAGGUCUGUGGUUAGCCCAGGUCUGUGGUUAGCCCAGGUCUGUGGUGCGUUAGCCCAGGCUGAGGUUUGAGAUGAGCAGUGAGUUUGUUUUUAGAUUUUUCUGAAUCCAAGGUUCCUGUGAUAUAUGUGUAGGAACUCAGUUGGAGCUGAGGGGAGAGAAGGAGACCAUCACUGAGGUGAAGAGUGAAGGGUCAAGGAACCAUGGCCACGGGCAUAACGAGGUCAUCAUAGGAUCUUUAUGAGUCUGUGUUGCGGGGACAAUAGCAAGGACAAAAACAAAGGAACCAUAACUAAUCAAAGGAAGGAUGGCUCAUAGCUAAGUGGUAGAUCACUCACUCAGCACACACAAGACCCCUGGUUUAAUCCACAGCAUCUUCUGCCCUUCCCAAAAAAAAGACCAUUACAGAGAGAUCGGUGGAGCACGGUAAGAAGGCAUCCACACGGGAGACCGCUGUCCAACUUGAUCAUUCCAGAAAAUUUAGACAGAAGGCAAGCAACAGCAACCUCCUCCUCCCUGCAGGUGGGACUUGUCCUCAUGGGUUUCUCACAGGAGCCCUAUGUGAUGGUACCCUCCCCCUGGAGGACUCGGGUGGAAGGGCGGAUGCGAUUGAUUGAGGAGACCAGAGGAGCUGCACACAGGGCCUCACACUCCAGUGAGUGGCUUAGGUCUGAACUGUUUACCACAGCGAGCUCAAGGAGAUGGAAGCUCUAUGGGCUCAUCUUUGAAGAGCGCGUUAGAAGGUGUGGACACUGGGAAGGAAGAGCAGAGGGACAGUGUGAGUCUGUCUGUGCUGGGUACAGACUGGAAGUGAGGACAGUAUGCUCCUGACACUGCCUCAGUGUACACACACUGCAUGGCCUACGCAGAUGCUUGGGCGGCUGAAGAAAGAUGUGCCCAGUGCCUGAGGAGUGGGAUCUGCCUUAACCACUGUCUAAAUUUCAAGAGAGUUGAGUUGAUAUAUUUAUAGACUACCACAGGUACUCUCAGUCUCCAAACAACUCAGGAGAUUGUUAAGCAAGUACAUUAUAGAAUAGGCUUGGUUCUAUUGGUGGUUCAGAACAAGUUAGAGGAAGCCUGCCGCUGUCUCAUAGCUCCCACUGGGGACACUGUGUGGCUCAUUCCUUUUGUUAAGAAUCAGACCAUGAGGAGAGACCGAUGGACCCACAUGGUGAGUCAUAGCUACGGCUGAGAUCCAGGGACAGGUAGGGCUUAGACUUCUGCAGUUUGGACCCUAGGAGUUCUUCUGUGUUUUCCUGAAGCUUUGCUUUGGUCUCUAUCCAAGCAUUUCCCCUGGAUGGUUGUUCAUGAAAUAGUGAGCCCUGGGGCUGUCCACCCUGAAAGAGAGAGCUUUUCUCUGUUUUGUAUGAAUGGAAAGUAAGGGCAGCCAUAUUGGUGUGUAGUCCAUUUGAUCUGCCUUCAGAGGUAGCUUUUAAUAAACUGCCUGCUGCAUUUGAGACUCAGAUUAGAGGUGGUAAGCUUUGCUGUAUGUGCAGAGAUCCCAGCUUAGGUCUCGUGUUUGCCUUGUGCCUUCUCCAACUCGUGCUGGGUUGGGAAGUAGGCAUGGGAUGUUGGCUAGGCGUGUGGGUCUUCGUUCCUGUCACGAGCCAGACUGCCUCUUUCCCGUGUGCAGUUACUUGUUGGUUUGGGCGGAGAAUGUCAAGAAGGAAUAGCAUGUGCCAGCGAGGACCCCCACACCACAUAUACAAAGAUGGCACAAAUUGGACUCAGUGGGCAUGCGUGUGGGACAUGCGUAAGGGGUGUAGAGCAGACCUGGGAGGUGUGGGGUGAGCGUGACCCGGAUGUUUUCCAUGCAUGUAUAGAGUUGUCACAGAACUAGUAAGUGCAUUGUAAAAGUGAGAGUGUAAAAAUCAAGUUUACCCCGAGGACGGGAGGUAGCAGAGAUGCUACCCACGGAUGUUAGUUGUCGGUAAUGCUUUGUUUUACACGGGAACUGGGAAAUCUGAACUCACAACCGUAUGCUUACAGCAUAAGUUCGCUUACUAAACCAUCUCCCCAGCUCUUGUCUGUAGUGUUACUUUCCUCUAUGCUAAUUAUCUGGUCAAAAGACAGAAAACGUUGGACAUAUUACAGGUGAACGGGAAUUCUGUAUUUUCUCACUCUAUGCAUUGCAUUCAUUCAUUUAUUUUGUUCCUUGGUGUGUAUGUGUAAGUCACAGGACAGCUUGUGAGUUAUGCCUUACCGCCAUGUGCGUAAGGUCUGGUAGCUGAAGUCAGGUUGUUGGGCUUCCUGGCCGUGUGCCUUUAACCACUGGACCAUCCUACUGGCUGGGAGAGACACAUUUUCCAUGAGUCAUUUCUAUUAAAUAAAUGUUGAUUCGCAUCCUAGCAUGUGCUGUUAUUUUAUAAAUGUGGGCCAUGACCAGCAUGUCUUUCAUGUAUAAUAAUAUAGCUAGCUACUUUGGAAUUAGGUUUAAAAUUUAUAGCACAGUUAAAAACUAAACAAGUGCUUGACUUUUCUCUUUGUUAGUGUCUGCUUGUUUGUUAUAUAAUGUAACCGCAUCUCCUUCCCUGCAUCGGAAGUCCCACCUCUCCUUAGUUCCGCCCCUCUUAGUUCUAAUAUCCUUUGUGUUUUCCUGAUCCUUCCUGUUUGACAUCUGAGGGAAGGAGGAGAUGUACCUGUCGGUCCGCACGAAGUCGACUGGUCCUCUGAGGGGAAGUGAGGCUGAUUAUAGGAAAGACAGAAAGAAAGCUCAAGAGACAGCUAUGGGAGGGCUGCGCGGGUCAUUACCAUGCCAGCCCCAAAUGUAUUUAUCAUAGUCUUCUUAUGCUACAGUACCCUGGAAAGCAAAGCCACAGCUAACAGAAACAAUGCUGGUGGAAAUGUACACAAGACAGUUGUUCUCACCCAAAAAAGCCUUCCAAGGCCAAUAGAAUCUCCAGCCCUCAGCCUCGAGCCUCCCGUGCACCCCUUCUCAUUGUUCCUUGCCUCAGCAGGCUGGGAAAUCUGCCAACAGACCCUGACCUGCCUUGACUGUGCCUGGCAGGCAGACUUUCUCUCUCUUUUUCUCUACUUCAGAGAAAUGGCAAAUGCCUGUCCAGGAGAUCUUCAUCUUCCAAGUCUGGUUCUUUUCUCUGGCCUACCCAUUUUUCCUGAAGAUGGCAAAGUCUUAUUCUUUAUUCCUGAGUAGAGCUCUGUAUGCGAGCUUGAUCCUGUAGACACCAUUUUCGGGGCUUCUUUAUUGAGGUCUUAUACCUACCAGCCUUCCAACCUGUUCCUCUCUAAACCCUUCCAACCCCCAACACUAGGAAUCAAAGCUUUUAUCUGUACCGUGCUCUAUUAAUUCACUCCCGAGUCCCUCACACCCCUCUUUCCUAUUCCCCCGCCCCCCCCCCCCUCAGGAUUGUGAAUUCACUGCCUCCUGUUCAUCAUCGCUCACCAGUUUAGUGCACAGCCACUCCAGUCUUUGCUGGUUUCUGGGUGGUUCUGCCAUCCACUUUCAUGCAUCUUUUCCUUGGUCCCAGGUGCCCUUGCUUUGCUUCCCCUUCCCUCCUUUGUCUGCAUGAGCCAGUGGGUGCAGCCAGUGUUAGUAGCUUCACAAAUGUUCCCUGGAGCCAAGUGGACUCUGCCCGAGCAGCAGCUUCCCUCGAAUGAUGAGAAGAGACUGUAAACAGGUGACACGAAGAUGGGCAUCCCUGUGUGAUAGCACGUGGCAGAGCAGACUGUGGGACAGUCGUGCUAUGUGGGACAUAUUGGAUUUCAGCACACCUGCUGUCCUCAGAGGCUGCAGCUCUAGGCCUCUGUGGAGGUCCGGCCAUGAUUACUUUAUGUCUUUGAUGAAGAGAAGGGAAAUGUUUGUGUGUAUAACCACUGUGGAAAUGACAAUUUUUAACUUAGAAAAUUACUACUGUGCACUAGUGAGCAUUCAUGUCCGGGAAAAUGAACGAUAGUUUGUAUACUUUAACUUUUUUAGCUUAGAUUUCUGUUUUGCCCUAAUCUUUAGAAGUUUGGUUUAAUUUCAAGACAUACAUAUUUGUGCCCAUUGUUUGUAUACAAGCUACCACGAAAAUAGAACAGAAGACACAAUUAAAUGAGUAUUUUUCUUGGUGAGCUAUAUACUGGGGAGGAGAAACCCAUGGUAAAGUAUAGGUCUGCAUUUGUUUAAAGACUUAAGAUGCCACACAUCUGGGGGUUUAGAUUUUUUUUAAGUUGAAAGGGAACGUGCAAUACAUAAUUGUCUAGUAUGACCGGGUGUGGUGGCGCACACCUUUAAUCCCAGCACUUGGGAGGCAGAGGCAGGUGGAUUUCUGAGUUUGAGGCCAGCCUGGUCUACAAAGUGAGUUCCAGGACAGCCAGGGCUAUACAGAGAAACCCUGCCUCGAAAAAACAAAAAACAAAACAAACAAACAAAAAUUGACUAGUAUGUGCUUCUUUGGAUUGGCAAGGUGGGAACACUGAUUUUUAACACAGUGAAAAUAGAGUUGAAGUUCUUCAUUGAGUGAAGGAAAUAAGGAAUUGACCUGGAACCAGGCCAGCUCCUCAGCCUUGGUUUCAGGAAUUGUGACUUAACAGUGUGGCUUGUUUAAAAAUAUAUGAAACAACAAAUUGGAAGGAAUUAAUUGUGAGUUAUGUUAAAAAAUAAAAACAAGAACAGAAAGCAAAAAAAAAAAAAAAACAGGCAGAGUUCUGUGAGAUGGUAUGAGAAAAUUGAGUUUUUUUCUGGAUUAGGCUUGAAUGGGAACUCAUUUUGCUCUUUGCCUUGGGAAGCCGGAGUCCUACAGGGCACAUGUUUAGUGAACAGUCAUGGCACAUGGGAAGGUUGGAGCGUGAGGUGAUCAGUGGUCUUGGCAGCUGAGAUACCAGCCGCAGUGCAGCCACGAAGCACUGUCUAAGUGCCAGCAUUUGCAGGUAACUUCCUGUAGUCUGAGUAAAACUCUUCAAGAGGUACAGUAGAUAGAUGGGUUGGGGCCCUGUUGUGGAUGUGUAGGGUAGAUGGGGGUGGGAGGACCUUACACAGACGUUUCUGCACCAGUGAAAAGGUAAGGGUGUUGGUGGAAUGGCUUCAGGCUGUCUCUUUAUGAGGAUAUUGUAAUGGUUAGCAUGCGCUCUGUGUGCUCUGCACUGGAAGAGUCUUCUAGUGUCCUCUGACCUGGUGAAUGUAGACAGAUAAGGAAGAACUCAAGGCUGAUUUCAAAAUUGUAACUUUAGGUGAUUGGCAUAAUCUUUUGAUUAAAAGAAAGAAUUUUGGAAGAAAAGGCUGGUGCAGUUGUGCUAACUCACCUGUAGUUUGGCAUAUCAGUUACAUCUUCCACCAUCUAUGACUGGUAUGUUGUUGUGAACAGGUAUGUAUGUGUUCCUGGAUGGAAGGUGUGCUGGUUGGUACGCAGCCUUUAGGAACAGAUUAAGAAGAAACAGAAAAUCCUAUAAGACCGGAUGUCUAAUGUGCCAUUUCCUGUAAGACCUGAUGUCUACCGUGCCAUUUCCAACCUGCCUUUGGACAGGUUUUAUUUACAUUUAUUGGAAAAGAGGAAAACCGCUGUUGAGCGGUGUGAUUCUUCCUUGCACUUUUAUUAUGUGAUAAUUAACUCUAGCUCUCGCAGGUUGAUGAAUUUGAACCUGAUUAAUUAUCCGAUGGUAAUUACAAGCUCAGUGAUUAACAUUGCUGAAGCGACAUUCUUAACUUCAUCUCUGUGUGUUUCUGCCACUUUUCAUAAAUGCUCGAGUUUGUUUGAAUGUGACUUGCUCUUGACUUCGCUGAGGUCAAACUACUUAAAUUCUGCAGGGGGGAGGGGGGGCCUAAAAUCCUUAGGAUGUGCCCUUAGUGUGGGAAGGAACCGGGCUCAGUCCUUUACCCUUUUGUAGACUGGAUGUUCUGAUCUUGCUUCUUGAAAGUUUCCUGUGUUCUUUUCUCCUGUGGAUAGGGGUGUGCUCUCCUUUCCCCUCAGUUGUAGCUAUUUCUCCUUACGGAGGGAUUCUCUGCUGCUGGGGUGAAUCGUCACUGUUUUGGAUAAGUGUGUCUAGACUGUGGGCUAGUUCUGCCCUCCUGGUUCCAGUGUGACAUUGAGAGAGAAUGGGGUGUCAGUUGGGCUCAGGCUGUGACAGCAUAGGAUCAUAUGGUGCAGGAUUUAUACACAGAAGUCAUUUCCUCCACUCCCCUGGGAGCUCAAACUUUAGUAAGCCUUUCGCAUGGUUUGUUCUGCAUGUUUCCCCCUCGCCUAUAGGUGGCAGUUGUCUUCUUAUGUCUUCAUGUGGUCUGCUUACUCACUGUCUGUUCCAGAAACCCAUUCUUCUAAGGGUUUAAGCCAUGUAUUUGAAGUUUGUGCAUCUUUUAAAUAACUUCUGUCUAAACACGGGGAUCCUGGAGAGAAGGCUUCAUGGUUGGGAGCACUGGCUGCUCUUCUAGAGGAUCCAGGUUCGAUUCCUAGAACCCACAUGGAGGCUCUGCUGUAACCAGUCACAGAGAAUGUGGUUGCCUCUUUGGGUAUUGCAUGCACAAGUUGUAUGCUUGUAUGUGUAGGUAAAAUACCCAUAUACAUAAAAAAUAAAAAUAAAGGUAAAAAAGAAUUAAACACAGGUUGGAACUAGAAAUUUAAAGUAGAAGUUUCACAAUUUGGUCUGUAACUGAUAGCACCUCCUCAGCCUCCAUCACCACAUCCACACUAUUUGAGAAGCUAUAAAAAUAAAUAAGGAAGAGCUGGGGAUAUGGUUCAGUGGUACAGCGCUUGCCUAGCAUGCUUGAAGGUUUAAUUCAUCUCAAUAUUGCCAGGAAGAAGUAAAAAGGAAACGAUCGUGUGGGAGUGAUGGCUCAGUGAGUUCAGAGCCUCCACACCCUUACCCACACAGAAGCCAAGCAUGGCAGUGUGCACUGUAGCCACAGUGCUAUGUGGUACAGAUGAUUUGAUUCCUAUUUCUGCCCAGCUAGUCUGUCCAUAACAGUGAGUUAUUGGAUCAGAGAGAGGCCCUGCCUCAGAAAAUACUGAGAUAGAGAAGCUGCUGAGGCCAAGACAUCUUGAUGUCAGCCUUUGGCUUCCACGCAUGCCUACACACACACACACAAAUGGAUAAGAGGACUGCAUACUGCAAGAGAAAGAAAAUACUGAUUUUGACUGAGUGAUGAAAGUUUGUGAGUAUAGUGUGCUAUGAGUUACAAACGUGUGUUCACACCAUCUUCUUCCCAUCCCAGUAUAGCACAGGAAAUGCUUUUCCUUGUUCGUAGACCACCCAGAAACUGGAAGUGUCCUGAUGUGCUCAUGUCUAGGUAGAUCUGAACCCAGACCUUUGGACCCUGCAUUAGUCUUGUUCCACCGCAUGCAGGGAGGUUAAGAGUGUAGUCCCUGUGAGCAGAGCCCGUGACCUUUGGUGAUUAGGUUUUUGUGUUCUGAAAAGCUAGGGAUUAGAGACACUUCGCUGGCAGCCAGUAUGUUCUUGUUAGCUUUAACAUUUGUGGUGCAGAAAGCAAGCACGGAGAAAGCUGUAACUCUCUGAGAGGAAAGAGACAAAGGCACAUUUUGGAACGUCUUAUUUGUUAGGGAACAUUUCAGACAUAAAAAGUAAUAUUGCUAUAGUGAGCUCCCAGCUCCCAGUUCUUAAGUCCUGGUUCAACAGUUGGGUGAGUUUUGGAAUGCUUCAUCUGUCCCUUUCUUCCCCUCAAAGCAAAUCUCUCAAGGAACAUUUAAGAUGUGCCAAUUUAAAACACGGACAUUUUCUCACCUAACCUGAUUCCCUCCUGUAGCUUCCUGAUCACUUCUGAGUGUCACUUAGCUAUGAGAGUCCACAUGAAGACAUUUGUUCUACACAUGCUCAACACAUGAAGCUAUGCUGGAGAGUAACUUCUCUUUGUCUUUUGUGUUCAAGGUUUUCAGGUUUCAACAGAGAGUGAACACAUUAAGUUGAAUUAUUUAUUCAUUUCGAUGGAGUUUAUGGCAACUCUCUUUUUUAAAAACACAGAUUCAGUGCUGGUCUUCAGAAAUCAUCUAAACACUUUCUUCUGUAUACCUAUCCACUUUCCAAAAAAAAAAAAAAAACCCAAGUAAAUAAAUAAACAAAACCAUGGAAGUGCACCUGUAGGCACUACAUCAGGCUGUGCCUCAGCAUGGUCUCAUAACUGUGGGCAUCCUUAUCCAUGUGGAACUCUGCUGCAUGUGGUCAUCUUUGGGUCUCAGCUCACGUACGAAG